GCUAAGGUUUCUGCCAAAAUUUUCGUCCAACAUUUUUUGGACGGUUUUACCCUCCCACUAAAUCACAUAAUACUCAAAAUGCCAUGAUGCCGAUUCGUUUUUCUUUCCUCUUUGCCUCCUCUCCUUCGUAUUCCUUUUCCUCCCACAAAGCUCGUCGUCUCCACCGCACGCCCUGGCCAGAUCGAGGUGCAGCCCCGCCCUUUCCUCCUACAGAUGCAGAUCUGGUGGCAGGGUCCACGGCGCCGGCGCCCGGCGGCAGGGGGGGCAAAGACGAGGUGGGAGGAUUCGACUCGUCACUCGUGCGAGGAGACGAAGAUGAGGUGGCAGGAGUCGACGCGUGCGAGAAGGAGAGGAUGGGAUUCUACAUGGCAGCCUCAACGGCAGAUCGAGCAGGCUCUUGCAGUGCAAGCCUUCUCCUCCCUCGAUGGAGUCCGCGUGUCCUUGCGGCCGGCGCUUGGUGAGCUGUCCGAGCUGGUUAUCCUGCGAAUACACUCUGUCUGUUUUCUUUCUCUCGCCGGGAUCUGCUUCACGGUAGCUUCAGUUGUCCUGCGCUUUAUAUGCCCGCUAGAGAUGACCAAAUAUCUUGCUUUUUCUCUUUGGAUCGACUUUUGUUGAAGAUGCAAAAACAAUACAGAUUAUCCAUAUGUAAUUUCAAACACUAA